CCUACGGGUGGCUGCAGUAAGGAAUAUUGGUCAAUGGAGGCAACUCUGAACCAGCCAUGCCGCGUGGAGGAUGAAGGUCCUCUGGAUUGUAAACUUCUUUUAUAUGGGACGAAAAAGGCUUUUCUAAGUCGUCUGACGGUACCAUAUGAAUAAGCACCGGCUAACUCCGUGCCAGCAGCCGCGGUAAUACGGAGGGUGCAAGCGUUAUCCGGAUUCACUGGGUUCGUAGGGUGCGUGGUAGGGUUGGUAUGAAAUCCCCGAGCUUAACUUGGGAACUGCCAUUGAUACUAUCAGUCUUGAAUACCGUGGAGGUCGGCGGAAUAUGUCAUGUAGCGGUGAAAUGCUUAGAUAUGACAUAGAACACCAAUUGCGAAGGCAGCUGGCUACGCGGAUAUUGACACUGAGGCACGAAAGCGUGGGGAUCAAACAGGAUUAGAUACCCCAGUAGUC
rnacentral:rRNA from 1 species